GCCCAACUCAAUUUCUGAUGAUGCGGAGGCUGUUACAUUGACUGGAAACAGCCAGGAUGCAGUCAGUCAGAUUAAUGAGAAGGAAAUACAUUGGGGGUUGCUGGAAGACUCUUUGGAAGAACGCUUGGAAAAGACUGGGGGUUUGCUUUGUGAUUCUGAAAAGGCAGAAGGAGAAACUAAAGAGUCGGAGUGGGAGGAAAAUAAGAAAAGAUCAACAUGAGGAAAGCAGGGCUCAUCAGUUAAAAAGCUGAAAAAAGACAAGGCAAUGGGAGCAACAGGGAAAGCCACUCGUCCUGAGACAAACAUUGUAACUAUGGCACCAAGAGUCAAACCAGAGCUUC